UGGCGGACGGGUGAGUAAUGUCUGGGAAACUGCCCGAUGGAGGGGGAUAACUACUGGAAACGGUAGCCAAUACCGCAUAACGUCGCAAGACCAAAGAGGGGGACCUUAGGGCCUCUUGCCAUCGGAUGUGCCCAGAUGGGAUUAGCUAGUAGGUGGGGUAAUGGCUCACCUAGGCGACGAUCCCUAGCUGGUCUGAGAGGAUGACCAGCCACACUGGAACUGAGACACGGUCCAG
rnacentral:rRNA from 1 species